rnacentral:rRNA from 1 species
GAUGAACGCUGGCGGCGUGCCUAAUACAUGCAAGUCGAGCGAACAGACGAGGAGCUUGCUCCUUUGACGUUAGCGGCGGACGGGUGAGUAACACGUAGGUAACCUACCUAUAAGACUGGGAUAACUUCGGGAAACCGGAGCUAAUACCGGAUAAUAUUUCGAACCGCAUGGUUCGAUAGUGAAAGAUGGCUUUGCUAUCACUUAUAGAUGGACCUGCGCCGUAUUAGCUAGUUGGUAAGGUAACGGCUUACCAAGGCAACGAUACGUAGCCGAACUGAGAGGGUGAUCGGCCACACUGGAACUGAGACACGGUCCAAACUCCUACGGGAGGCAGCAGUAGGGAAUCUUCCGCAAUGGGCGAAAGCCUGACGGAGCAACGCCGCGUGAGUGAAGAAGGUCUUCGGAUCGUAAAACCCUGUUAUUAGGGAAGAACAAACGUGUAAGUAACUGUGCACGUCUUGACGGUACCUAAUCAGAAAGCCACGGCUAACUACGUG